rnacentral:rRNA from 1 species
GAUGAACGCUGGCGGCAUGCCUAAGACAUGCAAGUCGAACGAGAUGGCCCAGUGAAAUUUAAUGACGUUUGAAGUGCUUGCACCGAUUUCUGAUUUAUUUGGAUCUGGAUUUUCCGUCUAGUGGCAAACGGGUGAGUAACACGUGGGUUACCUACCUCUAAGCUGGGGAUAACAGUUGGAAACGACUGAUAAUACCGAAUGUGCUCUACGGAGUAAAGAAGCCCUUAAAGCUUCACUUAGAGAUGGGCCUGCGGCGUAUUAGCUAGUUGGUGGGGUAAUGGCUUACCAAGGCGACGAUGCGUAGCCGAACUGAGAGGUUAAUCGGCCCAACACUGGGACUGAGACACGGCCCAGACUCCUACGGGANACAGCAGUUAGGAAUAUGUCAAUGGGGGAAACCCUGAACGAGCAAU